CAGCAGUGGGGAAUAUUGGACAAUGGGCGAAAGCCUGAUCCAGCAAUGCCGCGUGUGUGAAGAAGGCCUGCGGGUUGUAAAGCACUUUCAGUGGGGAAGAAAAGUGCAGCGCUAAUAUCGCUGCAUCUUGACGUUACUCACAGAAGAAGCACCGGCUAACUCCGUGCCAGCAGCCGCGGUAAUACGUAGGGUGCGAGCGUUAAUCGGAAUUACUGGGCGUAAAGCGUGCGCAGGCGGUUUUGUAAGUCAGAUGUGAAAGCCCCGGGCUCAACCUGGGAACUGCGUUUGAAACUACAAGGCUAGAGUGUAGCAGAGGGGGGUAGAAUUCCACGUGUAGCAGUGAAAUGCGUAGAGAUGUGGAGGAAUACCAAUGGCGAAGGCAGCCCCCUGGGUUAACACUGACGCUCAUGCACGAAAGCGUGGGGAGCAAACAGGAUUAGAUACCCUGGUAGUCCACGCUGUAAACGAUGGGCACUAGGUGUCGCGGGUAUUGACCCCUGCGGUGCCGCAGCUAACGCAUUAAGUGCCCCGCCUGGGGAAUACGGCCGCAAGGUUAAAACUUAAAGGAAUUGACG
rnacentral:rRNA from 1 species